AUGAUUUACCUUUUGAUCCUCUGUUUCUGCCUCUCAGGUUGUGGUCUGUCUCUGGAGGUCCGUCAGUCUCACUCUGAUCUCAUCACUGAUCCUGGAGACAGAGUGCAGAUUUUCUGCAGCCAUAAUAAAACAGACUACAGGGUGAUGCUCUGGUACCAGCGCUCACAGGGGGACACAGCUAUGAAGCUCAUCGGAUAUCUCUACUAUAAAACUGUCAACAUGGAGAAAGCAUAUGAAGCAGAUUUUAAUUUAUUUGGAGACUUGGGAGGAACUACAGCAAAGAAUGGCUCUCUCAUUAUUGCAAGUGCAAGAAAAGAGCACAGUGCAGUUUACUACUGUGCUGCAAGAGAAGCACACUGA